AUUGCACGAGAGCUUUCUGUGCAAAUCCCAUUGCCGUCAGUGGGCUGCUGUGACCCUGCACUUAACCUGCACAGAGUUCAAAAGCUGCGGCACUGCAGCUUCCCACGCCUUGCAGCAGAGACACAGCCUCUGCUGAGUACACAAAGAAAGCCCAAGAGCAAAGCAGACGGGACCGUGAGGUUAAAGGAAUAAUUACACCGUGUUAAGCCUUUUGAUUUAUUCUCCCAUCCGUGUCCCUGUGUCGCAGUGUUUUGAUUCUCCUGCUAAGCUGGUACCUUGUGUGCCAGCUGCACCCAGUGCUGGAACAGCAGAAUGUGCACAGGCUUUACCAACCUCAAAUGCAGCAGUCAUGCAGAGACUGGAGUGAAAGAGAUGAAAUGCAGAGAUCAGUUUCCCAACACCUGCGCAGCUGGAUUUGGUUUUUGUGAAUACCGAUGUGGGCAUCCUCUGGGCACCCUGAAAUUGCUUCUUUCUUCAUCUGUGUGAAGAGUUGUCUAAUGGAGUGCAGCCAUGUUAUCAGGAAACCAGCUUGUGCAACUCCAAGGGAAUGAAAUGUCGUCCCUUUUGAUAACACAACGAUCGGGAAAAUUGUUCUUCUGUAACUGAAGUAAAAUCAUUUGGAUUUUUACCAGCAGCGAGAACAAAUAUGUUCUUCCUUCUGUCCUCCCUACGUCUGUUUUUCUUCUGUUCCUUUUCCCAUACCUUUUUUUUUUGGUAGAUGCAGACACAAGCUACUUGCAACACAGCAGGGGUUCAAUACAUCCUGUAUGGCCCGAGAGAAGGCACAAAAUCUGCUCACUGUCUGGAAUGAAUUUGGAGCCUUGAAGUCUGCGUGUAGACACAUGUUGGAGAUGAAGCAGCCCUGACUGCAGGCACACAGCUGUGUGCAGGGUGGCAUCUCCUCCCCUCCAAAGCUCAACUGCUGGGAGAGCAUAGGGGGAAGGGAAUUGGUCAUCGUACAAAUUCGGGAUGCUGCUUCUUGCUUUUUCAACCAGAGUCUCUGGGGAUGCUGAUGGGCUCUUUGCUGCAGUGAAGCAGUGAGUCCUGCUGGGCAGUAACAUGAAAGCACUUAGCAUUUGCUAGAAAAGAGAUGAUCCACAGUGCAACUGAAGCAGGAAAAAGAUGUUGUAGAAUUCUGGUGGCAGAGGGCUGAGUGUCUGGCAGCAGUCAGAGCAAAUGGCACACAAGGACGUUGGGAGCCGCAAGGAUAAGAGGAGCUUGCAAUGACGCUGUGAAAGGGCUGCUGAGCUGCCAUCUGGAGCAGGGCGAGUGACUGGAGCUCUGCAGUAUGGAGAUGUCCGGAAUCAAUGGGGCUGAGAGCAGAGAGUGCCUGCACCAAGGCCAGCUGAGCUGUGAGGAGGCACACAAAACUGUGAUUCCCCAGCAAGGAUGGUCACCUCUGUGAUCUCCAUCAGGACAGCAGGAGGGGAGCGCUCUCCACAUCCGUAAGGAUGUACCUCAGGAGCUUGAAGGAUGUUGACAAAACAAAAAGCUUAAUUGAAACACAGCAUUUUAAAUUUCCUGAAGAGGUGAAGAGCACUUGGUUGAGCUUGUGUUGAGUCCCUGGUGACAACUGGUGGUGGAUCAAGCUCCUCAUUACUUCUUCUAAGGACUCAUCUUGAGUGGAAGAUGGUCUUCAUGUCUGGAUCCAACUGCUGGGAACUUGGAGGUGGCUGGGUUGUCCUCAUCACCCAGGCUCUUUGGUUGGAAUGGUUCAGUUUCACUUGUCAGUGAAAGGUUUCACUGGUUCUACAAACUGGUUCUUAAUGCAGUGCCACGCAGCCCUGGAUCUGGACCUUCCAGCAAAGAAAUGGCAUUACACAAUCAAUAGCAGCUUUAGGGAAUGUAGUAACAUCUGUAUAAGAGGACUCAUAGGGCUGUGUCCUUCUGGAAGACUUGUACAGUGCUGGGCUAAUCCUGGACUACUGCACAGUCUUUCAGCUGAAUUGGGUAUGACCAGGUUAAAAAAUAGGGUAUUUUUAGAGCAGCAUGUUGACUUCCUUUCCCUGGGCUCCCAGACCUGGGUGUCUUUCAGCCCUUACUGUUAAUGAUUCUCCGCUGCAGCGAUUUGGAUUAAAGGCUGCCUGUUCUCAGUUCAGUUACAGAUUUACUCUUAAUCAUUUGAACCCAGAAUGAACCACAAUGAACACGCAGCUGAUUUUUCUAAAUAACCAUACUGGAAAGAAGUGAUUUUGAGGGAAAAUGAAAUGAAAUGAAAGCUUGGAGAGUGUUAGGCUGUAAGGAGCUUUCAGUGCAGCCUGCUCAUUACUGAAAGCCUGGAAGGUUCAAGUUGUUUUCAUCCAAAAGCCAUGCCUUAUUCUCGAUGGUUAGUUAGUUUAUGGCUUUUAGCUUUAUUCCUAGGCUUUGAAACCUGCACAGCAAAAAAGUUCUCUGUUUCUCUCUGGUAGAGGGAUUUUGGAGGCUGGCAGAAGAGAGAGGAUGGCCACUAAAUGAAUCUGACCUUUUUCUUUCAAAUAUCAGUAGUCCAUAGUGGUCCUAGCAGAGAGCUGUGUACAUACACAAUAUGUAUUUCACUUUGCGCUGUCACAUUACUCAGAGCUGUCACUGCAGAUCCAGUUAGGGGCUGUCCACGUGAGAGCCUGUUUGAGGGACUGGUUUUCAGCUGCAUCCCCAAGGUCAACCUGAUCUGCAGUCAUGUGCAUCCCAGAACCCAUGCAUGGAAAUCGAGCACAAAAUCAGUGCAGUGUCACUGAGUGUCGUGCAGCCAGCUUUGAGAGUACUCCAAAAUUUUCAUCAGCGUGUUGUCAUGGGCACGGCAAAGUAGCUGCUACUGACUUCAAGCAGGGAGAUCAUUCAGCUUAAUUUCAUCCACUGUUGGUAGGAGUUGCUCCAAUUACACUCAAACAUGUUAAGGAAAAACAGCGUGUGCUAAUUGUUUUGCUUAAAGUUUUAUUUCAGUCCUGAAGCUGAAACAUAUGCAAUCAAAUACUUGAAAGAAAUAAAUAUCUUAGUUUUUCUCCUCUAUUUCUAUUUUUCAAGUAGAUACUUCAGAAACCUGAAGGUGAGAACGAGCCUCUGUUAUUUCAGCCUACAGAACGUGGCUUGGGGAGGUAACCUGUUAAGCAGCAGAGGUGAAGUGAUGGGAUGUGUUUGAAGAGGUUAGCGGAUGAAUUGGCCCAGUCGAUGUUGAUGGCAAAGCUUCUGUUUCAGCUAGGAUUUUAUUCUGAUUUGAAAAUUAAGAGAAGGGUAGAUCCUCAUUAGAGUAAUCAGCUUAAAUGGGUUGACUAUCUAAAGCAAUUCGUUUAAUUUGUUUGAAACGUUCAAUUUUAGUUAUAAAUGUUCAGCUCUCGCACAGUUGCUAUUUAUACUGUUUAUCGUGUAAUUUUGUGUUCAUUGAUUUGUAAAAAUAAAUCUUUUUGCUCUGGAAGA